rnacentral:rRNA from 1 species
AGUGAACGCUGGCGGCAGGCCUAACACAUGCAAGUCGAGCGGCAGCGCGGGGCAACCUGGCGGCGAGCGGCGGACGGGUGAGGAAUGCAUCGGAAUCUACCCUGUCGUGGGGGAUAACGUAGGGAAACUUACGCUAAUACCGCAUACGACCGAGAGGUGAAAGUGGGGGACCGCAAGGCCUCACGCGAUUGGAUGAGCCGAAGCCGGAUUAGCUAGUUGGUGGGGUAAAGGCCCACCAAGGCGAAGAUCCGUAGCUGGUCUGAGAGGAUGAUCAGCCACACUGGGACUGAGACACGGCCCAGACUCCUACGGGAGGCAGCAGUGGGGAAUAUUGGACAAUGGGCGCAAGCCUGAUCCAGCCAUGCCGCGUGUGUGAAGAAGGCCUUCGGGUUGUAAAGCACUUUUGUUCGGGAAGAAAUCGUGCGGAUUAAUACUUCGUACGGAUGACGGUACCGAAAGAAUAAGCACCGGCUAACUUCGUGCCAGCAGCCGCAGUAACAC